CUGUCAUUUACUUCAUAAGAUUAGACUUUUACUUACACCAAAAGUACUAGCAGACACUCACGUUACAUGUGUAUAAACACAGAUAUACAACAAGAAAACGCAGACCACUGAGACAGCAGGUGGACCAUGAACAGAAGCUGGUUAGACAGACCCCAUCAGUAAAUAAAACAGUGUGGACACAAAGACCACAGCCCCUGGGAGGGUCUGCACAAGGCUUGCCGCCAGCCCAACCUUGGCCUGGGGGAGCUGAAUCCACCCCCAGGCCUCAGUGUUCUCAGUAUUUGCUUCAGGACAUGGCUGCGCACAUUAAAUUAACACAGGUUUAUUAUGGUUACGUAAGCAUCCA
rnacentral:lncRNA from 1 species